rnacentral:rRNA from 1 species
GUUAGGAAUAUUGGACAAUGGGCGAAAGCCUGAUCCAGCCAUGCCGCGUGAACGAUGAAGGCCUUCGGGUUGUAAAGUUCUUUAGCCGAUGAUUAUAAUGACUGUAGUCGGAAAAUAAGCCCCGGCUAACUUCGUGCCAGCAGCCGCGGUAAUACGAAGGGGGCGAGCGUUAUUCGGAAUCACUGGGCGUAAAGCGUGCGUAGGCGGUUUUGUAAGUUAGGAGUGAAAGCCCAGGGCUCAACCUUGGAAUUGCUCUUAAAACUGCAAGGCUCGAAGCUCGGAGAGGAUAGCGGAAUUUCCAGUGUAGCAGUGAAAUGCGUAGAUAUUGGAAGGAACACCAGUGGCGUAAGCGGCUAUCUGGACGAGUAUUGACGCUGAGGCACGAAAGCGUGGGGAUCAAACAGGAUUAGAAACCCUUGUAGUCC